AGGAAUUGGCGGGGGAGCACCACAAGGGGUGAAGCCUGCGGUUCAAUUGGAGUCAACGCCAGGAAAUCUUACCCGARGAGACAGCAGAAUGAAGGUCAAGCCUGAAGACUUUACCAGACAAGCUGAGAAGAGGUGCAUGGCCGUCGCCAGCUCGUGCCGUGAGWUGUCCUGUUAAGUCAGGUAACGAGCGAGAUCCCUGCCUCUAGUUGCCACCAUUACUCUCAGGAGUAGCGGGGCGAACUAGCGGGACCGCCGCAGUUAAUGCGGAGGAAGGAGGGGGCCACGGCAGGUCAGUAUGCCCUGAAACUUUGGGGCCACACGCGGGCUGCAAUGGUAGUAACAAUGGGUUCCGAACCCGAAAGGCGGAGGUAAUCCUCAAAUGCUACCACAGUUAUGAUUGAGGGCUGCAACUCGCCCUCAUGAAUAUGGAAUCCCUAGUAAUUGCGCGUCAUUAUCGCGCGGUGAAUACGUCCCUGCUCCUUGCACACACCGCCCGUC
rnacentral:rRNA from 1 species